AAAGUAUUGACAGCAUCAAAAAGUCUUCCAUGUCAUCCCAAAUUUAAUAUGGCAUGCAGUGUUAUAUUCAUCUGUUGACAGCAUAGAUAUGAAGCUAAAACCUUAUCUUCAUGCUAUAUUUUGAGACACUGUAGAUGCAGUUUAAAAACUCAUCUAACAGCUCACAAAGUCAUAGACCAUAAACAUCAGGCUAGUGAUGUUGGUAGCUUCCACCUUCAAUCCAAAUAUAUCAAAUCAUGCUGACUUCAAAGCGCACACCUGUGCUGACACAUAUGCUUAUGUAUAUAAAUACUAUUUAUUACAUGACUGGCAUGUUGUUAUGGGCCCUUGAGUAGCAUCAUGUCACAGGCUGCUGAACAGGGUAAUCCUCUUCAGGAUGGAAUGAAUUCCCCUUGGUAUUUCUGCCUCUAGAUGAGGAACCUAUAGUGGCUUGAAGUAAAGCUCUUUUGAGGG
rnacentral:misc_RNA from 1 species